rnacentral:lncRNA from 1 species
CUCGCUUUUUCUUUACUAACUUAUCAUUGAUAUUAUGUUGAUGGUCCUAAAUAUAAAGCUUUAUUACAACUGUCACACAAACUUAACAUUAAACAAGUAAACUAAACAUUGACCAAUGAACCAUGAAAAUGAGAUAAAGGUCAGAUGAACUGUUACAGGCAGUCAUGUACAGAAAACAAAUCUUCCAUACAACAAAUAUAGUUGACUUAUUGCUCAUAGUUUAAGAAAACAGACCAAAAAAAAAAAAAA